rnacentral:misc_RNA from 1 species
GAUGAAGAACGCAGCGAAAUGCGAUAAGUAAUGUGAAUUGCAGAAUUCAGUGAAUCAUCGAAUCUUUGAACGCAAAUUGCGCUCUCUGGUAUUCCGGGGGGCAUGCCUGUUCGAGCGUCAUUAUAACCACUCAAGCUCUCGCUUGGUAUUGGGGUUCGCGGUUCCGCGGCCCCUAAAAUCAGUGGCGGUGCCUGUCGGCUCUACGCGUAGUAAUACUCCUCGCGAUUGAGUCCGGUAGGUCUACUUGCCAGCAACCCCCAAUUUUUACAGGUUGACCUCGGAUCAGGUAGGGAUACCCGCUGAACUUAAGCAUAUCAAUAAGCGGAGGA